UGGUGACUUGAUGACCCAUGGUCAAAUGU
rnacentral:piRNA from 1 species